UCGCUACUACCGAUUGGACGUUUUGGUGAGGCUCAGGGAAUGUUGCAUGCGGUGGUUCGCCACUGCGCGCAUGCAUGAACUGAAACAAACCUGAGCGUCUAGAGGAAGUAA
rnacentral:rRNA from 1 species